CCUACGGGGGGCAGCAGUGGGGAAUAUUGGACAAUGGGGGCAACCCUGAUCCAGCCAUGCCGCGUGUGUGAAGAAGGCCCUCGGGUUGUAAAGCACUUUCAGUGAGGAAGAACGCCUGGUGGUUAAUACCCAUCAGGAAAGACAUCACUCACAGAAGAAGCACCGGCUAACUCCGUGUCAGCAGCCGCGGUAAUACGGAGGGUGCGAGCGUUAAUCGGAAUUACUGGGCGUAAAGCGCGCGUAGGUGGCUUGAUAAGCCGGUUGUGAAAGCCCCGGGCUCAACCUGGGAACGGCAUCCGGAACUGUCAAGCUAGAGUGCAGGAGAGGAAGGUAGAAUUCCCGGUGUAGCGGUGAAAUGCGUAGAGAUCGGGAGGAAUACCAGUGGCGAAGGCGGCCUUCUGGACUGACACUGACACUGAGGUGCGAAAGCGUGGGUAGCAAACAGGAUUAGAUACCCCUGUAGUC
rnacentral:rRNA from 1 species